rnacentral:rRNA from 1 species
UACGUAGGGCGCAAGCGUUAUCCGGAAUUAUUGGGCGUAAAAGAGCUCGUAGGCGGUUUGUCGCGUCUGCCGUGAAAGUCCGGGGCUCAACUCCGGAUCUGCGGUGGGUACGGGCAGACUAGAGUGAUGUAGGGGGAGACUGGAAUUCCUGGUGUAGCGGUGAAAUGCGCAGAUAUCAGAGGAACACCGAUGGCGAAGGCAGGUCUCUGGGCAUUAACUACGCUGAGGAGCGAAAGCUGGGGAGCGAACAGG